rnacentral:rRNA from 1 species
AUGCUUUUUGGAAAGGGGGGGGAGAAGCGGCAGCAGCCCAAAUUUGAAAUCUGGCUCCCUCUCGGGGCCCGAGUUGUAGUUUGGAGAGGAUGCCUCGGCGGGGCCGCCAGUCGAAGUCCCUUGGAACGGGGCGUCGCAGAGGGUGAGAAUCCCGUCCGUGGCCGGCGGUCCCCGCCGUGCGAGGCUCCCUCGAAGAGUCGAGUUGUUUGGGAAUGCAGCUCUAAGUGGGAGGUAAAUUCCUUCUAAGGCUAAACAUCCGCCAGAGACCGAUAGCGCACAAGUAGAGUGAUCGAAAGGUGAAAAGCACUUUGAAAAGAGGGUGACACAGCACGUGAAAUUGUUGAAAGGGAAGCGCUUGCAGCCAGAGUUGGCCCCGGGGGCUCCGCUCGUCCUCGGACGGGCGCCCUCCCUCGGGGCCAGGCCAGCAUCAGCCUGGCCGGCCGGACAAAGGCCGUGGGAAUGUAGCACCCUCGGGUGUGUUAAGCCCGCGGCACAAUGCGGCCUGGCCGGGCUGAGGUCAGCGCCUUCGGGCACGGAUGCUGGCGUAAUGGCUGUCAGCGGCCCGUCUUGAAACCGCCCCCCAGGGGAAAAAAAG